UCUUUUUUGUAAGAGUUUUGGGAGAGGCUGAGGAUUUACAGCAUAAUGACACGUUUGCGUUUUAGUUGAUUUGCUAUUUACAGAAUCAUCUGUGUAGCCUGAUUUGGGUGCGCUCAGCAAUUUUUUGUGGGAUUUGGAUUGAUGCAAUGGAACCACGUGUGUGGGGUAGUGCUAGGAAUUGGUAUGGUGCCGACACCUACCCAUCCAUGUACUUUGCAUGGGUUUCACUGAUGUUCUUGGAGUGUGGCCAUAGUUAUUUUUGGUGGGUCCACAUUCUUAAUUGCUGUACCACCGCUUUGACCCCAGUUCUGACCAUCUACACAAAUCUUUCCCCACCUCGGCUCUUUCUUCCUUAACCACAGCCCACAGGUCCACAACGACUCGCCCAAUCCCGCAUCGCUGCUCGCCGCCGUUCGCCGCCGUAGCCCUCGGCGGCCCGUCCUGCGUGAAUCCCUCUCGGCCGCUGCUUCCCCUUGCCUCCAUCUGUGACCUCCUGCCAAGUCAGAGAGACAUACCUGCCGGCAACACAUUGAGGACGACGAGGCUCCGCGGUGCUGUGGAGGUUGGUGUGGGUGCGACCCUCUAUUUGGCGACUCGGCGCGACCUGGGCGACCGGAGAGGAUGGCCGGCCACGGCUGCUCCUUCCCAUGUUUCUGAGACUCGCCCCGGUAGUUCCGCCGCCGCCGCUCGCGGAAGAUGGCGGGCCGCCGCCGUUCGCGGGAGACAGGUCACGCCCUGAACCAUACUUUCGACGUCGACGACCUGGCGGCGCUCCGGGCCUUCGCCGACAGUUCCCCAUCCGGUUCGAACUGACCGACGGGCCUCGGUUCUCUCUAUGUGGCCAGGUCGCCGCGCUUUCCAUCUUGGCCAGUCCGUGUGCCGCCUCUCUGAAGGUACUCAACAAUCCACAGAAUCAUCGAUACUCUGAAACAGCGAGUGCGUCGGCGGCGGUGAACUCCACAACGGCGGCCACCAUCCCGACCGGGCUGAACCAGGCUGAUGGGGAGGAGGAGCGCAAUCUCGGCCAGCAUGGAUGCGCGCGGGUUGCUUCCUGACUGCGGACCUGAGGAUGGCCCCCUCUGUGUUCAGCAACAGCUGGUCCUCUAGAUGAGCGCGCGACCACGUUGGAGGUGGCCAUGCGCGUUCUGCUAUGCUCAGAGAUUCCCUAUGAGUGUGGUGCCGCAGGCUGGAGUGACCGGCCUCUUUCUUCAUCGCCACCCCCAGUUCCGUAUCGGCGUCAGCGUCUGCAAGAUGUCACUGUUGUGAUGCCUCCUUGCCGUGGUGGUUCUUCCCUGAUGCAUGUUUAUGUUGUUUGAACCAACUGAAAGCACAAAGUCACUGACUCAAACAAGUCAACAUAGCUACGCCAUUUUUAUACAUUGCACAUUCCUGAAGAAAGGUACCAUAUUUCAUUUUCUGGCAUGCAUAUGAUCCCUAGAUUGUACCUGCAGACCGCAGUUUCAUUAUUAUUUUGUUUUCCCAGUUACAUAAUAUUUUCUCCACAAUAUAUUUUGAUUUCAACAUGGUAAUUGUUCCCAUAUAGCUAAAGCAUCUAGAAAAUGAAAAACUGCAAACCGAAUGUCUAAAACAAACUAGAAUUUUCAGACCAUCUAAGCUUAAAGAUGGAAAUUCCAGUCAUAAGAAUGAUCGUCAGGUGAUUUAACUAUAGUCAAAAGAUAAUGUACUCUGGCUCCCAAGGGAAAAUUGUGUGCAUAGCUGCAAAAAUUUCGAAUAGACAAGUUGCUGGCAGUAUAGUUAAUUAAUCCACAUUAGUAGUUAGUAUCUAAUUACAGAUAGACAAACCUGCACAUUUUUUUUGUAUUGCACACCUCGAGAUUUUUUUUUAUGUGCAAAUACCACUUCAUGCUUUGGCUUCGGGACAUGCUUAGUCGAAUUUGGAGGAAGAUGCAGAGAUAACUUAAAGCUUUUCCAAAAUUCAUAGUUAUGAUAAUAAAUCGAGAACUCCAAGAGUAAUAUGUCACAUACAUAUUAACAUAAAAUAUCUCAAGUUUAUGAGUCGGUGAGAAGGAAGAGUAUGGCCACAAUUAAAACAUUAUCCAAAUAAAUAUUCCCCUAUAGUGCGUUAAAGUCAACGGUAUGUAUAGCUCCUGAACCUUUCCUUAUUACCAAUGAUAUAAACAAAAACUUCCGAGCCAGUCAAUGAUACUUCUAUGUAAAAGGAUGGCCAGAAAACAAUUUAAAUGGGCUUAGUGCGCUCUUUGUCUAUCACACUCUGAAAUGAACCAUCAUCAAGCUUCACACUUGAAAUACAAGGAGUAUACCUUUUGACGUUCUUAGCUGAACCAACCACAUGCUUAGAAGCACCUGAACCAAUCAACCAUAAUCGUCACUUUGUGUAUGAUUUUUGUCUGCAGCAUUGCAGCAUCCCCUUGCCUGCCAUAGAUAUCCCAGCAGGGUGGCCACGCCUUCCACAUUGACCACAACACCAAAACUUCUUGGCCGUGAACCCUCCUUUGUGUGCAUUCCACCAAACAACCUUUGUGCAUACAUGGUACUCAAAAGAAUUUCCACCACAUCUGUUUAACUUAAUCACACAAGAACACAAGCAUCUUCUCGGAUGAACAACUAGAGUAGAAAACAGCCACAAUAGCAACUAGCAGCAGCUCGCUCUCCGUUGCGCAGGGCUGCAGCAAAAACAGAGGAGCGGCCUUCCUCGCUGCAACCAGUAGGGCAGACGAUGCCGCAUCACAAACUUCGAUCAAGGUCACUCCGAAUCACAGGGAAACACACCAGAUAUAUCCCGCUCUGAUACCAUCUUGAUUUCUGAAAGUAUUUAGAAGAGAUUUGGGAAGAGAGGGAAGAACACAAGGGAGGCUGAGAAAAUAUUCCUGCAUACUUCCAUUCAGUCGAUCCUCCACACCUUUAAUUAAGGUACUUCUACAACUUAAGCCCUGAAGCCUACUAAGAUUACAAAGGCGUGCUCCAACAAAACAUAGCGGAUGGGCAGUAUAAAUAUGUAAAUUAAGGAUUUAAUACUUGAGUGGAUUCUUCUACUUUGAAUCUUUCAAGCAGAUUACAUAUGUGUUCUAAAAUUGUUGUAGAUUUGGUUAUUUUAUGACAUUCAUGAUAAAGAACAUACUAUGGCGUCUAAGGAACAUCAUUCAUGUUACAUUUCCUUCGGUGUAGCUACCUACGGAGUAAUUCUUUGUACCCCCCACCAGAAGGAAUGAUCUGCAGUUGCAGAUGUCAGUUUUUUACCAUAUAUUUAAGCUCUCAGGUUAGAUUUAUCCAUGCUAAGUCAUGAUGAUGGUAACUCUUAUGGAAGUUCAUAUUCAUAUCCAUGUGAACUGGUAUUCCAGUAGAAAAAAAAAAUUUAUCCAACAAGAAACGACUCACAUAACUAAUCCAUCAAAAGCACCAAGGGGAGCAACAGUUAACACAUUGUCAAAAAUUGAUCUCUUUGAGGUAGAUUGGGCAAAUUCAAGCAAAGUGGAGCAGGUCAGAUGUGAUUUUCAUUCAUCCAAGCUGGUUGUGCCAAAGUUGCUUUCAAAUAAGAAAGGGGAGAAACCUUUCUGACUUCUCUGAACAUUUUGUUCCCUUCGAAACUUAUCUAACUUUCCAGUGUCAAAGAGUAAGCUUUCCUAUAAUAACAAGUUUACAUAUGCAUCACUGUGCCAAUAAUGCAGAUGACUGGAUGCGCAAGUACCUGGUGAUCAUAAUUUGCAAAUCACAUCCAAACUUCAGUAGGUUUUUUUAUAGUAUUUUUAAUGCAGUAGACGAAUCAUGUGAAAUGAUCCAUAGUACCAUAUGAUCUCUGUGGUUAGCUGACAUUGGCACCAGUGCGUUGCUACAAGGUCUAGAGAAAUCUCGAAGAGAGCAAUACUAUCUGAAUUUCUCUACUUGCUAGCCAGCAUUUAAGCAUUUGCAUUUUGGCCUCUAAAAAAAUCGCAGAGGAAAAUUUGCAUUUGUUGUAUACAUGCUGCUAACUUAAGAAAAAGAAUUACUGUUAAGACAAAGAAGCGAGAAGCCUAUAUUUUAGUGCCUCUUAUGUAGUUAUUUCUUUUAUCUAUUUGCUUACCUGCACAAUAUUUAAUUUAAUAUAUCUUUGCAUUGCACGGUGGAACUUGCCCGAGUAGUGCUGAAAUAUAUCCCCAAAUUGGUUAAUCUGCCCAUUAUGGGCAUAUCAACCCCACAAGGAAUUAGGAACAACUGUUUUUGCUAAUUGAAAAAGUCUACACAGCUAUUCUGUUGUAAGUUGACAUGAUAUUGGUGAAGCUGUGGUGUAUGUCCCUUAUUCGUAUUUUUGUAUUUAUUUGAAGUCAACCACAUAAACUUGUUGACAUAAUUGGUAGCUGGUGUUUGAUUAUGCUCCCCAUCCCUCCGGCGAGGUAGCAAUGAGCUAUCAAACGCCAAUAGAGGACAGAUCCAGUUGUCCGUUUGUGAUGAUGGAUGAGAUUCCAUGGAUAGAGAACACUUGUAGGCCCUAGCUGUACCUUAGUUUAUCAGUACUUCCAUAUUUUUUUGGCAAAACACUUAUGAUUGUUGUUCUUUUUCUGUUGUUUAUAGAAUAAUGAUACCAAUUAUAUUUAUUGUUCUGAUCCAUGUUGUGUACACCUCAAUGUAGAAGAGAGUUGUCCACUGGUUGUUGAUUUAUCUUCUUCAUGGUAGCAGAGCAGGGGAAGACUAAAUCAGAACAUUGCUGAUAUCUUGGAAGUGACGUGUUGCCCCGAGCACCAAAAUCAGCUAAACCUGUUAGUCCAUGCUCCCUCUAUAUGAACUGGAUUAUAUUGUUAUUGACCUUGAGGGAGGUACAUUCGAAUGCUAUGUUGUAUGCAUUUACAUCGACCAAUUCAGAGAAUAACUAAAGGAAGGAUCAAUCUACAUGUUUGUGGUGCUCAUUGUGGUUAAAGCAAAAAAGAGCAUUAAAAGAAUCCAGGAAAUCACUCCUCAUGUGGACAAUUCCCAUGUUUUAAUGCACAAUGUUUGGUGUCUUAGCAACCCAUAAGGGAAGCAAUACUCUUUUAUCAAGUCUCUCACGACUGAUAUGGUUUGUCUCAUUCAUAUUUUGUCUUCACCACGCAAACUCCCUUGCUUAAAAAACGAUGCUGUGCUUCUGGGAUACACUGGGAUUGGGGAAUGUACUGGCAGACAUCAUCCCGUCGAAGAGAAACCAACAACCUACAAGACAUAUCUACUUAACUGACAUCAAGGUACGCCUUCUAAAAUAGAUAGCAUCUGCUUGCAAAUUUCGUGUAGUGCCAUGUUCCUUGAUACUAACUUAAGCAGCCAAUGUGGAAUUGUCAUCCUCCUAAAUGGUAUAAUGGGGAAGAAGUAUCUUCAUUGAACAUGGAUGGAAUAAAUUCGCAGAAGACAAUGGCAUUCCAGAAGGUGACACUCUGUUCUUCACUUACGCCGUGGAUUCGUCAAUGAAGGUGGCCAAAUUCGGGAGCAAUGGCUGCGAAAAAAUAAUCAUCCGACACAACAAGGGAUACAUCACCUAGAUACCAGGCCUAGACCACCUUUUGAUUCCUACAACUUACAAGUACCAGUGGAAGGAUCCUGUUAUGCAACUAUUUAUCUAUGACCCAUCAAUAAAAUUUCUGAGUUACACA